AAAAAGACAAACCCUGAUUUCCGUGUACAAUGACUAUCCGUCUUAUAUAAUUUUUUUUAUAAUUAGUAUUUUUAUUGUUGUUAGAUGAUAAAAUAUGAUUAAUACUUUAUGCAUGACUUGUCUUUUUUAAUUUUUUUUCAUAAUUUUUUCAAAUAAGAUGGAUGGUUAAACGUUGGACUCGGAAACCCAGGGUUUGUCUUUUU
rfam:Oryza glumipatula chromosome 2, whole genome shotgun sequence.